GCCUCCUCAAACACUCUUUCUGGUAGCCUGAAGCAUUCCUCGAAGAAGUUCACCAGAGACUGACUGAGGUGCUGCCUUGUUGCUUCACUGUGAAUGAAGUGGCCUUCAUCUGGGUAGAUCUGAGACACAAAAAGUAAGGUUUUUUAAGAAGACAAGAUGAAAAUAUCCUACUUGAGUGCAUCCUUCUGAUCCUGUUCCUCGUACAAGCCCAGUUUCUUCUGGAUCCGGUGCAGCAGGUUGGUACCCUGGAAGCCGCUGCCUCGUCCAUCACAGCGCACCACGAUGGCACCGAAGCUGCUCACCAGCACAGUGGCCCAGUCCAUGUGAAACCGCUCUGACACCAUCUGGCCACCAGGUGUCCCAUCGCUGCACAUGAAACAACCACAGACAACUAGGCCAGGACCUGUGUGACAUCCCAGUCUCCAGAGGUGAUGGACUGCAGCGUGUCUGUACUGGUGUUGGGCUUUGGGAUGUGGAGUAAACAGAAAAAGAGAAGAAUGGGGAAUGCAGAACUUUGAUAUAUUCUCUUACUUGGGAGAUGGACAUGGAGAUGUGGAAGAACUUGCCCCUGCCUCCUUGGGGAAUGGCUCGAGUGAAGAACAGCUUAAGCCCAUCUCUGGAAAACAGAGGCCUCUCAUUCUGAAGACACAGAAGGUCUUCUCAUCUCUAUGGUGUGAAGAGGGCCGUUAAGGUUCACGACAUACAGAGUGAUGACUGGGUUCUCCUCACCAGCCUGAACAGGGCGAGAAAGAGCUGCCUCAUUGUGAUCAUUACCAAGGUGAGCUGUCAGAGGCUCAUCUGCUCUCUCCAUGUUCUCCAUCCCGCUGUGCAGACUACAUUAUUCACUGAGUACAGGAUAUUAUUAAUGCAUGAGAUACGAAAGUGACAAGAUGGGAGAGCCGGGCUGGGGCUAUGUGGUUAGCAUGCUAAGAGGAAGAAAAGAAGUAAAGAAGUGAUAGAAGUAGAGGCCAUUGCUUUUCACUGCUGGAGACAGCUCUUGUGCUUUGAGCCGUAGAAAGUCCAUUCACAUCCAGUGUUGCCAGGGGCGGACAUCUCUAAACCUCAGCACAUAAAACCAAAGCUAUGUGCACGGCUUGAUGUCACUGCUGAGCCAAUCACUGAGCCCGUUGAAGAUGACACCCUCCUUGCCAGUGGACACCAGACGAAUGGAGCGGCUCUCCACUGUAGAGCGAUAGUAGAUGUUGUUCUCAAAAAUGAAGAUCUACAAGAGCCAGAAAGAGAGCCUGCAAGGCUUUCAAGAUAACUGAAGGUCAACUCUUUCAUUACAGAGAAUAAUAGAUCAUCAGCACCCACGACUCCAGCUGACAAAGUACAACCUCGCAGUCACUGCUGGGUCCAGCAACGGGCGGGAUGAGAAUCACACCCUUCACUGUACCCAAGGCCACCGAAAAAUCAGCAAUCGACACAAGGUACUUGAGUCAACGACUGCUGAUUCGACCAAUCACAAGCGGAGCUAGGCGGAGCUCAAGCAACCGACCAAUCCGCGUUUUGUUGAUGGAUGACCCACGGAAGCAGAGCAGAGCCACAGAGAAACUAAGACAACAAACUGUGAAAAUAUGGAGUAAACUCAACUUUGAGUCGUUCGGGUGGUUUGUUAGUGCCGUGUAAAACUUCAGUAGUCAAUUAGUCUGGAUGGUAAAACGAGCUUUGGAGCUGUUUCUGUUCAACAAGAGUGCUGCUGGAUGAAGAACCCAAGUCGACGCUCCACAACCCCCCCACCCCACCCGAGGAACGCCGUCAAAAAUGGCUUCACCUGCGGUUGAGUAGCUUGCGCCAUCUCCUGAGGAAAACACAGCGGAGAUGAAGUCCAGAGAAGAUCAACAAAGACCUGGGUGCAGAGGCGUUUGCUGGUUGUUUCUACAGCUGACAGUUCAUUGUGCAGUCUGUAUGUCAAACAUACUGUAUGUCCCAUUAAGUAAAUUAUUUGUUUUGUACACAGUAAAGCCACUGAAGACCAGA